rnacentral:lncRNA from 1 species
UGGUGGCCAUGUGGAGGAGCUGGGAGAGUGGCACCCCUGGAGAGGGUGUGGAAGCUCCGUUGCCUCCACCGUCUUUUCCGCCUGCUGUUCCUGAGUUGUAUCCUUUUAUUAUAAAUCUGCAACCUAGUAGUAAACUGUUUUCCUGAGCUCCAUGAACUGCUCUAGCAAAUCACCAAAUCUGAACAGGGGCUCAGGGGAACCUCUGAUUUAUAACUAGUGGUUCAGAACCACAGGUGGCAACCUGGACUUGUGACUGGCGUCUGAAGGCAGUGGGCAUAGUGUUGUGGGACUGCCUGAGCCCUUAACUUGUGGAAUCUGAUGCUAACCUCAGGUAAAAAGUGUCAGAAUUGAAUCAAAUUAGAGGACACCCAGUCAGCAAAUGUUGAGAACUGGAUAAUUGAUGGGUGUGUGUGUGUGGGGGAAAUAAUCCCACACAUUUGGUGUCAGAAAUGUGUGAGUAUAGGAGGAAAAAGUUACUUUUCUUUCUUUUUAGGAAGGGGAAAGAGGAGGGUAGAAAAGAAUAAGGAAGAAGAAAAUACAGUGGAGAUUCCUGGCUAAAACUGGUUGGCUCAUGUUUACUCAGCUUCAUGGGUUUAGAUUCAGUUAAGGCUGACAUUGGUUUCAGAAGGACGUAUAGUUGAACCAGUUCUUGAUAAGCCUGAAUCUUUAUGUGCUGCAUGUCUGUAAGCUGCCCUCUCAAAGACCUGCUCUCCUCACGUGCUGCAGAAAGAAAAUGACGUGGACAGAGACAGAAAUGUCACAAUCUACGCUCAGCUGGUCUGGAUUAUCCAACUUCUGAGGUGUAUCUGCCGGCUGUCCCUGUAUCCCAUUAUAAAUCAUCUCCUUGUUGAACAUCAGGCCAGACUGGGGUCUGAUUCAUUGGCUGUAUGUGGCUACCUGGCUCCAGGAGGAGCCUCUGUCUCAGUCCUGUAAUAGUCAUCAUGCUUUAAGAAACCUUCACAUUUCUGAACAGUUACAUAGUGUCCUCAGCUGAAGAAAGAGGAAGUCUGGAGUCCAUUUCCGGCAGUUAGCAGGGAGCUGUUUUCCUCUCUCUGACAUUAGCAAGAUUCAGAAGGUAUGAGAUUGGACUUGGAUCUUCUUUUUCUGACAUAUGCAUUUAAUACUAUACAUUUCCCGCUAAGCACCAUUUUUACCGCAUGCCACAAGUUUUGGGUUCACUGAACUGGGACUAUCCUGGUACCUGAAAAGGAUAAACUAGAAUGUGCUCGUGUUGGGGUGGAUAAAUCCUGAAGAAAGCUCACAGUCUGACAAGUUCAACCGCAGUUGCCAAUCUCUGCAGAGCUGCUAAGCAAAGCCCUCUUGAGCUUGGGGAAAGAACUCCUGCCUUGGCCCAGACGAGCCAUGCUCUGCAACUGAUCUUCCCCCAAGCCUUUUAAUGAAGUUUGACACUUGGCAGAGGCGGGGAGCUGAGGCACAUGCUCUGAAUGAGCUCUCAUUCCUAAGAGGUUUUGGCAUCACGGGAGCAUACCUCCUGCCCUGCUCUUCCUCCAGUUGUCCACCUCCACUCUCAGGGCAGGGGCCGGGGAGGCUGCAGUUAGCUCCAUGCCAAGAAGCCACAUCAGGCCACAUCUGGCUGGAGACAUUGGCUGUCAGCACUCAUUGCCAGGGUUCCAGUCCAAGAUGCUCAGUACAAAGUCCCAGGGAUCCUUCCUAGACGAAGCACUCUAAGUUUCUUCUGUAGAGGCAGUGCUGGCUGGGCAGGUGGCAAAGCAAUCGUAUGAUGGACACAAAGUGGCAUAUAUUAUCCAGCCUUCUGGGCAUGACAUGGCAGAUUCAUGAAUUCAUGAAUUCUUUCAUUCAACAAAUGAGGAUGAAGUUCCUGCCACCACCAGAUACGCUUCUACCUGCCUGUGAGGACUGCAGCAGUCAACCGGGUUGAAAGCAGCUCGUAUCCUUAUGGAGCCUGCAUUGCUCUAGGGAGAGACAGCUGAGAAAACAUUACAUUCACGGGAUCAUUA